rnacentral:tRNA from 1 species
GGAGGUGUAGCUCAGUUGGUAGAGCAACGGCCUUUUAAGCCGUUGGUCCUGGGUUCGAGUCCCAGCACCUUCA